UCUGCUAACUUUAGCAUGUAGUAACUCCAUUACGUUCGCUGCUACUAAAUUCUGUGUGAAAGGCAGACAAAUAAGGAGCAGCGAAAAGCUGGUGCAUGUGAUAUGCCCAACGGGAAUCCACUGUGCACCAGGCCGGUAGGCCCGGCUAGCUUUGCGAGGCGUGUGCGCUCGCGGCCGCUGGAUUUGUCGAGUCGUGCGGUGGAAUAUCGGUGUGUGAUUUCGGCGUAUUGAUGGGUUGAUAUUGACACGAAAUGGCGGAAAAUCAACAAAAGAAGACCAAGAAAUGGUCUCAGAAGUAUAAGACUGAAUACAGUCUCCAGUAUCCGUGUAUUUGGAAGUCGGAAAGAGGAAUUUACCAUGCAUUUUGCACAAUUUGCAGCGUGGACAUUUCAGUUGAGCGCGGAGGUCGUGAUGAUAUUCGGAAGCAAGUUGGGAGCAAACGGCAUACGGACAUUGCGAAGAUGAGAUCUUCGAGCUCCACUAGUACCCUGUUGACUUAUGUCACCAAGCAAGGGACCAGCGAGGAGGAAGACGUUACUCGCGCUUUAAUAAUAAUAAAGAGGAUAAUUCCUCAUUAUUAUUGUUGAACAGGGCGAGAUAGACUUCCUCAGCGAUCAUCAAUCUAUGGAUAGUAAUUAGCCGAGGUACACGCUGCAUUCUCUAUGCUGCGCUCGAGUGCCAGCUACCGUAGCUGCAUGGAGCUGCCAAGCGAGGUGUUUAUCUCUGCAUACUUAAGAAUGCAGUUUACGAUCGAGGGAGAGUGGGCAUCCUUUCGUUUUGACCAUUCCACCGAAUCCCGCCACCAUGGCUUAAUAGCCAUCCUGCUCUGUUGAAUCAGAAGGAUCGAGGCAUUUUUAAACAGGGAAUAGGAAUUACCCAUUACCAAUGCAAUGUGGGGGUGAAUCGACCAUGAACUGAUUAACAUUUUUCUAUCUGCUCCGAUUCUCCACUGAUGAUGCUGUUUUGCUGGGGUUAGAAAGGGUUCUACUGCCCUAGACGGUUAUUUCAUCAGGUACUCUAUACAUCACCUACAUCAUACAUGUAUGUGCUGUGUACGCAUGUAACAUUGGAUAAAUUUAUUGCUACCCGUUGCCAUCACAUUCUACAUCUUGGAGGAUGGCGACUUUCAACCCGAGACAUGGAUCCUCACCUGAGGUAAGAUUAGCAAUGAUUAUUCAUUAUUAAAAGAAAUGAUAAAUUGAUGGUAAAUCAUAGAAAAUAAUAAUGAUGGUAAAGGUCCACUGUCAUAUUGAGCUAAAAAAUAGCUGUACAUGUGUAGAUCAGUUUUGAAAGAAUAGGUGCUUUGUCAAUCUUCCUACGGGUUAUGGCUAAUCUCCCAUUUUUCAUGCAAUUCCUCUCUGCAAGGACUUUGCCACAGAAACUGCUGCAUCGGUGUCUUUUGGUGACGGGAGGGACUGGUCGCAGUCGCGCUGCACUGUCCAUCGAAAUGAUCAUUUCACCUCAUAUAUGUGAAUAUAUAAUGAGCCCCGUAACUUAGCAACGGCCUCGGUGUGGUCUAGCCAUCACCCCCGUUAUAAACACACGUACAGUUGCCAAACCCUAUUGGCCGGACAAGUAGCGGUCGAGGACUUGCCCAAAGGCUAAGUUACUGGAAAUAUGGAUUUGAUUCCAAGACACUUCAACAUCACACAUUUUUAUAUGCUAUGAAACAUGAUACCAUGAAGGAGACAGUGAACAGGUUCAUACCGAACAUUUACAUGUAUGUCGUACUGUGCAGGCCUACAUGUACAUGUAUGAUACGUGUGUACAUUGUACGUGUAUGUACAUGUAACUGUAAUAAUACGUACAUGUAGGCUUACAAGACUCUAGGCAGCUCGAUCAUGACCACUAAAAUGUAUCCGUAGUCGGUAUACAUGUAUAUACCUUUAUUGGGCCUACCUGUACCGGUACAUGAUUUAUUCUCAUUCCUACAAUGCAAAAUUUCUAUUAAAGAUCCAGGGGUCUAUACUAUACUGUAAAUGAGUUAAAGGUCAACCCUGGCCAGGAAUCAAGGCCUACAGUAAUGAUCGUGUACAUAAAAAUUAUGAUACUGCAUAAAUAAUAGGCAGGAAAAGGAAGGGUGUUAUGUUUCAAUUAAGGAAGGAUGGAACACUAAGUUACCACAUGUGGAGGUAAAAACAGAGACAUUGAAUCUCUCGCAAAUCCCUUAAAAGCUGUACAUGUACAUGUACUACAAACAUUCCCAUGAAAUGGAUUAAAGACCCCAACUGGUGGACCCAAUUUUGAAGUUGACUAUCAUUUUACUGGCAAUCAAAAGCUUACAUGUACAAACUUAAAACACAGAAAUGAAAUGUUACAUGUAAGCCUAUUUUGACCACUAACCAGCUGAGUAUUUUGCUCAAGAAUAUGACGCCGUUCUCAUAUUUUUAAAACUAAUACUGGAAGUCGGUUCAGAAAACCAGAUUGGAAGAUCGCUUUGCUAGUGUCUCCCAUUUGAUCAGCCGAAAGUGGUUUCAAAACCACUUCAUGUAAAGUGGCCUUGUUGCUACAUGUACAUGUAUGGGAACGCUCUCAGUGCGGGUGACAUAUUUCGCAUGAAAUUCGAAACCGCAGUGUAGAAAUUCUACACACACUGUGUGGAGUAGCGCGCUCAAGAUGUGCGAAGAUCUCUUCCCAAAAAUGGUUGUGUCCUCACUUAGGCUAAAACCAGUUUAACGAGGGAAAGCGAUCUUGAAAACUACAUUGUGAGAUGGUUCUCCAAACUGGUUUGGAAGAUUGCUUCCAAGACCGCUUUGACCAUCCUCAUGCAUUAAACUAGUUUCCACUAAAGAAGUUUCCACUAUUAGUUUUAGGGCGGUAAUAAUUUAGAACAGGGUCUACAAUGUACAGUACAUACAUGUAUGUAUUUCCAAUUAUUGGACUUCGAAAUUAAGCUUUGUUGUGCUUUUUAUUAGUCUCAGAUCUGUGACAUCAUUCUGUUUUAAAAGCGUUGUCCUUCCAUAGGUUUGUAUAUUAAUAUGCAUUUCAUUUUCUUCACUUUUUUUCGUGCACUUGAACAGUUGAACGUAAAUUCAUGAGUACAUGUAAAGGUCUCCAUCUAUUUGAAUUUGAAAACUUAAUAAUCUUUACGUCAGUGCCAUUUUCCUCUGCAUAUUGAUAACAAUUGAAUUCAUAAUGUGGAAAUGAAGAAAUAAAUAAAGUGUCUUUUCUUCGUACCAAUAAACUUCAUCACAACCCUCCUGUCAAAGUGUUACAUCACUAAUUUAAGCUGUUUAAUAUUGAAGAAGCUCAAUAUACAUGUAGACUAUUGUAAAAACCCAGAGUUUUGAUGCUCAGCUCUCAAGCAACAUGUAGGCUUACAUGUACAAUGUAUGCAAUAAAGAAAACAAAUCACUGCUUAAAAUUGCAUAUUGACAACUUUAAAUCAAUAAUUUCAACUCAUCACCAAUAUAUCCAUCUAGUUAAUUAUGUACAUGUACAUGUAGCAUUAUAGGCCUGUUUCAUUUUGUAAAACAAUUUAGCAAAAAAGUAUAUUAUUUUUAAAAUGAAAAGAUAGCUUUAGAUUACCUUUUUAUACAGUAUGUAAUUCACCAAAAUUAUCUUAAAGAUAUGGAUGAAAUACACUGUACAGUACAUGAUUGCGCAACCAUAUUAUUUUCAAGGGGAUCAGUUUGAACUAGAAAUGUUGAGGCACGUCAGAUCAAUGAUUGUUUCUUUUUGCUGAAAAUUGGCUUGUAUGUCUGAUAACAAAAAAAAAACAUAGAUCACCAAGUUUGAUUUCAUGAAAUAUGCUCUUAUUAUUUUUCUGACUUUGUUGAAAACACCUUGGGACAAAUUAAAGUUAAAAAACAUGAUUGACCUAAAAACCACUCUUAAACUUUUGACUUUGAAUGUUGUUUGAAUUUCUAUAGAUCUACAAAGUUUGUAAUUUAUUAUUGAUGGAAUUCAAUGGGAGAUCAACCUUGUUCUACACCAGUGCACUCCUAGAAUAUUGCUGGGACCAUUAACCCUGGCUUCAACCCAUUAUAGACGAAUUCCUUUCAAAACUAUUUUUAUUUGAAGAUGUCUGUAGACCGUGACUAUUGUCUCUGAUAUGAUUAAUGAUGCAAACAAGAUGAUUAAGUAGUAUUUUUGUAGUAUGUCCAGUAAAAAACUAUGGGCCUGCAAAAAUUGAUCUGAAUAUACCCACAUUAUUGGCUAUUCUGAUUUUAUGAGAUAUUAGAAUAUUUUCUAUUAUAUAUUUCAUUAAAAGUGAUAAAUCAAUAAUGACAAUGAAAUGAUAAUAUAAUGAUAACAUUGAUAAUAAUAAUUUCAUAUCAAAGUUUAAUAUGGGAACUAGUUUUCUGUUGGAUGUAGAGUAGUCUUGUCACCUGCCCUGUUUUUAACAGAGUAAUUGUUCCUUCUUGGUUCUCCCUAACAUUGAUUCCCCCAUACCUAAUCGUUCCGUGCAAGCCUUGCGUGUGACCUGCGGGUGACUACUUUUGCUACCCAUACAUGUACACUGUAGGUCGCACGCAGGCCAACCUCCAUGACCUUUGAGCUUUCUGGCAAAUUAAUAGUGAUGAAAAUAUAAAGAAUCAUGAUGAAAAUGAUUGAUUAUGAUAAAGGCUACAAUAUACGACAGUCAACAACAGCAACAAUGACAACAAUAACUAAAGUAGUAGUAGUAGUAGUAGUAGUAGUAGUAGUACUACUACUACAUGUGCUACUACUACUAAUACUACUACUACUACUACUACUACUACUACUACUACUACUACUACUACUACUACUACUACUACUACUACUACUACUACUGCUACUACUACUACUGCUACUACUGCUACUGCUGCUACUGCUGCUACUACUGCUACUACUGCUACUACUACUACUACUACUACUGCUACUAUUGCUACUGCUGCUGCUACUGCUGCUACUACUGCUACUACUGCUACUACUGCUACUGCUGCUACUGCUGCUACUGCUACUACUACUACUACUACUACUGCUGCUACUACUGUACUAUUGUACUUCUACUACUUCUACUGUUACUACUACUACUCCUCCUCCUCCCCCUACUACUACUACUACUACUACUACUUCAGGCCUAAUUACUGAAGCAAGGUAUGAGUUAUUCACCUCAUUAGGUUCAAGAAGUCUGCCUCUUUGUAUUUCAAGUUAUUCAUCACCAUCAGCAAAUAAAAUUACACCAAGAAAAGCCAAGCAAUAUCAUCAGUAUCCUCAAGUAGUUUCUAAAUGUUCCUUUUUUAUGGAACACAUUGUAGAUUUUGAGUGCAUCCAGAUUGACCUUAUUUUUAAGGGGUUAUUCACGGGGCAUUAAUAACACGUUUUGAAAUCUUCUUAUGAUCGAAGGAAAAAAGAAAAUUCUUUUCAAGCCAGCGACAAAGAAACUGUUACCAUUGUCUGUAAUUCAGCUUUUGAUCUAUCAUAGAAAAGAAGCUUAAAUAUUUAAGAUUGGAUUUAUUUGGGGGAGGCUCUCCAAAUGGACGACAUCGAGAGACAGGAUGUGUCUCGCUUUGCAGUCCACUUCCUUUCCGUCAGGACAAGGGUCUUCUGGUAGUACUACCCAACUAUUUAAGACAAGAAGUAGAAAUUAAUAUUAAAUAAGAACUUCCUGUGGUGCUGGCAUUCAUGACUCGUGAAGGAAGUUAAAAGGUCUCAAACAGUUGGAGUGGACUGUACUCAGAGGGUGUAUAAUUCAGGCUACUAUUUUCAUCAAUUGUUUUGUAAGGAGGAGAAACAUGUUUGCCGGUCCUUUAGCGCUAUGACAUGUGCUUUAGGCAUUAUUGAAUCAGCGCACUCCCACCAGUUGGGCCGAAACCCCCUUGCCACAUCAAUCAUCUAGGUGCACACAUUCCAAAGGUCGUUCAUUACGGGAGUCAAGGAAAGAAAAUAAAGGAGAACUUUGAGUCCGCCUCGAUCUGGAGACUCCUUUUAUUGUGUGUUUUGUCAAGAGACGGAAUGGGACGUGUGCUUGUUCAGUAGAAGUUCUCCUUCCUUGUUUUGAGGGAAGUUUGGAGUAUGAUGCAGGAUUCUUUGUGAUUUAUUCUUUGUGAGGGGGGUGGUGGUGAGGAGGAUGGCAUCCUCAACAAUACCGGUGUCUAGGUACCAAACUCUUCUCAGGAUUCAAUUUGGAACAUUAAUCCAGGCCAAGUCUGAUAGUGAUAGACAAGAUCAGAAUACAGUGCUAACAGUGUGCUAUCCAAAGGAAGAGAGGAAAGAAAGUAUCCAGGAGUCUAAACCAGUCUUUUACUUCAGGGUGAGCAAACCUCUCAAUAUUUACAUGUACAUGUAGACUGUAGAGUCAGUCUUAAAAGAGAUAAAACAUUUUGUCUCAAACAAGACUAUUAUUAACUCUUCUCUUUCAGGAUCAGCAAAAUCUCUGUCUACAGUCGGCCCCCUAUACAUUUGAGGCCAAUAUUAUAGUCAAACUCAAAGCUUGUCUAUUCUGAUGUUCUAAACUGGCUGAACAUACAGACAGAGAAAAUAUCUAACAUUUUUCCGAUAGGGGUGUAUUUCUCCCGCUUCUGUUACAAUUACAUACAUGUACCUUUUAUAUUGGAUUUAGACAAUACACCAGGGCUAUUUUGGACAUUUCAAGGACCAAAUUCCUUUUCAGCCCCAUUUAUUUUUCUUGCUGAUGCAGAUAUGCCAUUCAGCAGGGUAUGGCAGGGGACAACUGCAUGAGGGAUUCAAUAGAACACUCCUACAUGUAUAAUGGUGUAUACUGUGAGACCGCUACGCUUUCUUCUUCGCCAUGGUAACUUUCAGAAGUUACAACACUCAUCCCCUAUAUUUUGGGGGUACAGUAUCACAAAUUGUACAUGCAGUAUACUGCAUGUGAAUCUAAUCUAUAUCACACUUUCCUCACAGCCUACAUUAAAAAGGCCUAGCGAUCUCACAUUUUUGUCUUGCCUAAAUCUUGUUGCAUGGCUGCUGUCCUUGAACUUGCCACCUCCGAUAAAAUGGACUGAAUUUUAGAGUGAGAAAUGGAGGUGAGGUGGUGGGGGGGGGGGCAGAAAAAGUAAAAUACAGGGUAUGGAGUUAAACAAAGGUGUCUGUGUAGGCCUAUUUGGUUUUACAUUUUCAAAAUCGGUAGAGAAAAUAAUGUUGAAAGAAAAAAAAUCUGUUAUGUACAAAUUGUUGAUGUCACUAGAUUAUAAAUCUGAAAAUUUUAUUGACAUCCUGAAUGUGUAUAGAAUUAGUAUUGGUGUCUAUUUGUGCAGUGCAUACAAAUUGUAAUUUAAUUGCUGGUGUAUUGCGUAGUACUCUAUUGUUUACAUAGACUCGAACAGUAUCCGUAACUGGAAAAAAAAUGACUUUGGUUUAUACGUGUAGAGGAUGAUCAAAGUUCAUAGGCGAGCCUUUAAAAACAGACUUGCACGUAAACAUUGAGUAAUUUAAUUGGUUUCUGCAAACACUCGAGAUUAAAAUUGCCCUCUCCCUGUCUGAGUCAUGGCUUAAACCCGCAUUGAAGUGUCAACUUGGAUAAAUAUACAUCGUUCAUGAUGUACCAGUACCUGUCACAGUAUCUUUAUUAAAUGUUGUAGUUUGUACAUGUCAUGUAGGCUACAUACAUGUACUAUACGUACAUGUUUCAUUAACCUCACAUCGAAAUGUGUUCAUAAUGAUGAUUUUGGUUCAUGAAGUAGGCCUACCCGCGGGAAUAUAUAAAAUCGAUUGUUGUCAAUUCCAGUAUACAUGUACAUCUCCAGUGAUGAAAUAUAUCUGUACUUUAUGAAUCAUCAUUUUUUUUAUUAGGGUAGCGUUACAUGAAAGGAUGUGUCAUAUAUUACAGUCUCCAUAGUAACAGUGCUUCUAUAACCAAUCAAAAUCAAGGAAAGUUGUCAGAUCUGACUUCUUUCCUUGAUUUGCUGGGAGGCACUGUUACUGUGGUAACUUUCGGAUAAAAAGGGACUUGUCGGAUAAAACGUCUGACAGGUCCUUUCAUGAAAUGCUCCCCGGACACCCCAGACAUCUUGUCGGACAAAAAUGUUGAUGAAAUGCUCCCCAGGUUUAGUACAACGUUCUAUAGUUUACGUUCUAUGUUAAUGUACAUCUAGUCAUAAACUCUGACUUCCUUGUAUUCAAAAUUUCAAACCAACCAACUUCACCUUGCAUAAGUACUUGUACACCUUGAAUAUAAAGUACAUGUAGAUGUAUACAGGCCCGUUAAUACUGAGAGAUGAGUGGUAAAAGUAUUAUAAAUCACUUCUGGUUUUUAAAAGCACUUUGUAUUUAUAAUAUGUGCUUGCUUUUGCAUUGAUACAUUGUUAUGUACAGACAGCAUUCACUUUUGGUUUCCACAUUUCACAUUUUGAUGAAUAGCCUACAGUACAAUGUACUGUACAAUGUAGAUGAUAAUCAAUUGUCUUUACCACCUCUUUUGUGUACAGGAUUUGAAGAAAAGAAAGAAAUAAGAGAAAAAUGCUUUUUGAUUGUGUUUUCAUGUAGAAUUACCAUUAUCUGUGUGUAUUAAAAUUAUAGAAUUAAUACUCUGGGGGAACCAAAAGGGAUAAUGUAGUUUUCACAACUUCAUGUCUGAAGGUUGUACAUCGUACAUGUUCGUAAUGUACAUCAUGUGAUGUAAAUCAGUACAUGCCUACAUAUUUUCUGUUAAUAGUAAUAAAACAAAUAUGUUUCCAAAAUGAAAUCACAACUUCAUGUCUGAAGGUUGUAGGUUGUACAUUGUACAUGUUCGUAAUGUACAUCAUGUGAUGUAAAUCAGUAUAUGCCUACAUAUUUUCUGUUAAUAGUAAAAAAUGGAAUCAUGUUCACGUAAUGUACACAGCUAUCGGCUAGUCAUCAGAAUUUAUAAAGGGAAGGUUAUGCUUGAGUGUGGGGUAUAUGGGACUAGCACAGUAUUUGAAAUAAAUUGCAGGCUUUGUAUACCGGUAUGUUCGUUUUAUGUGUAAAACCAGACUGUAACAGUGGUGACCCCUAGGAUUUCAAAUGGAGGGGCUGUGGAUGACAAUCUCGAAAUACAGAGGAGGCGCGCACCCCUUGCACCUCCGCCCGGAUCUGCCACUGCUCUAAAUGCAUGAUGGGAAAAUUAAGUGGGAACACUCUUAAUAUCAUUUCAGUCUGGGGUUAUUUAUUUCGGUGAUGCAAACACGCUGUACUUGUGUGAGAGAGUAUAGGGAUCGUUGUUAAGCCGAGUACGAGACAGGCCUGGCCAAGCUAUUAGGGAAGAUGAGGUUCACAGAAAAUUCUAUAAAGGACAGUCAGAAAAAUAAUACAAAGGAAGUUCUGUCAUGAUACUCUAUGUCCUUCUUCACCUAUGAAAAGAAUUGGACGAAAAGAGAUGUUAUUGUUUCACACUGUAAACAAAUACAAUGUAAAAGCAGAGGGGUAUGAAACUAAAAUGUAUGUAUGUCCACUGUAUAAAGUAAAUGUAUACAGUAUGCCUACAUGUACAAUUGCACCAGUAUUCUACUUUGAAAAGAUUUCUAAACAAGAAGAAACUUUCCUUGAUUUGUUACCUUGAGAAUCCUCUUUAUCUAAGAAUGGAAGAAAAUAUUUUUUGUUACACACAAAUAAAUACAAUGUAGUGGUACUGUAUGAAAGCAGAAGGAUGACUCAAACAAUUACACCACUAUUGUAAUUUUAAUGGAUUUCCAAAUGAAGAAAAAUACCUUGAUUGGUACCUUGAAAAAUUAUUUUCAUAUUAUGUUUUUAAUAUUACGUUUAGAUACAUGUAUAUCAUACACAAACAAAUGCAAUGAAAGCAAAGGGGUACCACAAAAUAAGCCUGCACAUAACGCAGAUAAAUACAACUGUACACAGUAGGCCUACAUGUACAUGUAUAAUGACACCAAUAUUGUAAUAUUUGAAUAGAUUUUCAAACAAGAGGUAUACUGUACCUUGAAAACAAUCCACUUUAUAAAGGAAUGUCAUUGUUAAUACACGUACAAAUAAACAGAGGGGUAACACAAAAUAUGCCUGUAGACAUUAUAAUACAGCAGUCCUCCAAUGUUUAGAUUACAAAAGUAUUGUUAUUUUUAAUAGAUUUCCAAACAAGACAAGAAUUGCCCAAGAUUUGUUACCUUGAAAAAUCUUCUUCAUACAAGUAUUGGAAGAAAAGAUUUACCGGUAUUAUUGUUACACACAAAUGAAUACAAUACCAGUAUUAAAAAGGAGGGAUAAACAAAAAUGACAGAUACAUGUGAGUGUACAGUAGGUCUGCGGUUACACCAGUAUUAAAAGUUGAAUAGAAUUCCAAACAAGAAGAAAAUUACCUUGAGAGGUUUAACCUUGAAAAAUCCUCUUCAUAAUAGGAUGUUACUAGAUAAUGGACAAAUCUUUGUUAUUUAUGAAUGCAAUGUAGCCCAGGAUAACAAAAAAUAUGCCUACAUGUACAUGUAUGUCUAGUAGCCUUACAAUGUUUAGAUUACACCAGUAUUGUACUUUGAAUAGAUUUCUAAAUUUAAAUGUCUCGACUCAAUCUACCGUAUAUUCUGCAUCAUCACCUUGAAUAUUCUUUUCAGAGAAGGAUGUUUAAUAGCAAAUGGGUGAAUUCAAGGGAUUUUCUUAAGGUCAGAUAAAAGAGGAAUAACAAAUUAGAAAGGAUUAGAAAACUAGAUUUCCUGUAUAGUAUUAGCUAUCAACUACCAUUUAUGCAAUGUUAACUGUAUGAUGUGGGCCUGUGUAAGAAUUGGAAUUGAUCACUACAAAAGAAUCAUGAUUAUUAAUCUGUUUUCAGCACUCUCAUCUUGCUUAAUUUAACUUUUUUUUUUCACGAUCAAGUAUUUGUCUGAACACAGCAGAGCUAUACUGUAAACUUCACUUGAAUACUAAUGUGUUAGAUACAUGUAAGUAACAAAUCCAGGGAAUUACAAUACAUACAAAUUCCUAGCGUUUUUUACCAGGGUGCUCUCCUUUGUUCUUGAGUGUACAUUCAUGUGUCUUGCUUGCUUAUUAAAGUUUUAUAUAGUGUUUGAUUGGGUGACCUUGUCCCCAAGAAUUCAGGUCAAGGUUACAUUCCCUCAAUGUAGGCAUACACACAGCUUGCUGUUACCCAAUUUGUUUUCUUUGGAUUAUGUGGUUUUCACCCACCCCCCAGACAUAACACUGAUGUGUGCAUUGUUGUGUAUUGGGGAGGAGAGUGUGUGGGGAUCAUGUGCAUUGUGUGUAGGUAUUAAACACUGCUACAACAGUGUGUGUAUGGUUGGUAUUGUGUAACACAUGUACAUUGACUUGUGUACACUGUACACAAAGCAUGGUAGUAGUUGGGUCAUUCCAUGGGGUUGGGGCAAAAAUUGUGACAUCAGGGUCAAAAAAUAGAAAUGUAAUAAAUGAAAAGUUUUUUUUCUUAUAUGUUUCAUGGGACAAUUCUUCAACUAAAUCUACUUACAGGCAUUUCAUGCCACCCUGCAUAUUUGAGUAAAUUGCGAAACAAGAUUUGGCAAAAUACCACCGUUACACGGACAUCAUUUAUCAUCCUUACUUAGACUAUACUCUCCUACUGUCAAAAUAAAAGGGUUGAUCUCAAUUCCUCUUAAUAAAUAUUUUGCUAACAACAUUUUUAGUCAAUUUAUUCCACAUUUUCCAACAUGGCAUAUAUAUUUUGAAAGAUUUAGCAUCAAUAAAUGGAACUUGAUGCUCUGUGUGUAUACCAGUGCCAUGUUCUGUGUCGUUCUUUUUUCUCACCAGUCAAGAAAAUUCAAUUUAUGAUGGCAUGUAGAACUAAAUAGUUGACAGAAGUCAUGCCUCAACAGAAUGGAAUAUUCUUUUUGGAAAAACUCAACUACUCUUUCUGGCCUAACCUUCUAUUUUUGGUGUUACCACCGUUACAUGGACAUCAUGUCUCUGUAACAGAGGUAUAAUUUGAAGCAUUGUAAGUUAAGGUCCAUUAAUGGUCAUCACAUACCAAAUUACACUUUCUGCCUUCAAUUAUUUGCACAAGAUCAAUUGAUUAUAUUAGAAAAAAAACAUUUUGCAUGUCAAAUUAUUUGCAAAUAAAAGAAAUUUAAAUUAGAGUUUAAACAAAGAAAAAUUUACAAAAUUAUUGACAAAUUAUGUGUCGUUCUUUUUUCUCACCAGUCAAGAAAAUUCAAUUUAUGAUGGCAUGUAGAACUAAAUAGUUGAGAGAAGUCAUGCCUCAACAGAAUGGAAUAUUCUCUUUGGAAAAACUCAACUACUCUCUCUGGCCUAACCUUCUAUUUUUGUUUGGUGUUACCAUCGUUACAUGGACAUCAUGUCUCUGUAACAGAGGUAUAAUUUGAAGCAUUGUAAGUUAAGAUCCAUUAAUGGUCAUUACAUACCAAAUUACCCUUUCUGCCUUAGAAUAUUUGCACAAGUUCAAUUGAUUACACUAGAAGAAAAACAUUUUGCAUGUCAAAUUCUUUGCAAGUAAAAGCACUUUAAAUUAGAGUUUAAACAAGGAAAAAUGUACAAAAUUAUUCAAUAUUGACAUUUAAAAUCAUACUAAUCCUCAAGGUUCCACUUCCGUCUGUCUCUGGAAACAUUUAUGUUUCUUUCUAAAGGGGAAAAAACGAAACAGUGCUAUCUUACGAUCUCCAAAUCUUUUAUUACUUUGAAAUAUCUCCUUCAAGAUAUUACUUUCAAAUGUAGAUACCUCUGUUACACGGACAUCAUGUCCUUGUAAUGGUCAUAUUGAAUAGCAUUACUUGAAUAUUUGACAUAUUUUUCUAGUAUCAACACACUAAAUGCAAGUUAACUCAUCUUACUCAAGUGUAGAAAUACAACAUCUACAAGCAAGCUUCUGUAAUUCAUAUCAAUGAACAGGUAAAA